rnacentral:rRNA from 1 species
GGCGUGCCUAAUACAUGCAAGUCGAGCGGACUUAAAAAGCUUGCUUUUUAAGUUAGCGGCGGACGGGUGAGUAACACGUGGGCAACCUGCCUGUAAGACUGGGAUAACUUCGGGAAACCGGAGCUAAUACCGGAUAAUCCUUUUCUACUCAUGUAGGAAAGCUGAAAGACGGUUUACGCUGUCACUUACAGAUGGGCCCGCGGCGCAUUAGCUAGUUGGUGAGGUAACGGCUCACCAAGGCGACGAUGCGUAGCCGACCUGAGAGGGUGAUCGGCCACACUGGGACUGAGACACGGCCCAGACUCCUACGGGAGGCAGCAGUAGGGAAUCUUCCGCAAUGGACGAAAGUCUGACGGAGCAACGCCGCGUGAGUGAUGAAGGUUUUCGGAUCGUAAAACUCUGUUGUUAGGGAAGAACAAGUACGAGAGUAACUGCUCGUACCUUGACGGUACCUAACCAGAAAGACACGGCUAACUACGUGCCAGCAGCCGCGGUAAUACGUAGGUGGCAAGCGUUGUCCGGAAUUAUUGGGCGUAAAGCGCGCGCAGGCGGUCCUUUAAGUCUGAUGUGAAAGCCCACGGCUCAACCGUGGAGGGUCAUUGGAAACUGGGGGACUUGAGUGCAGAAGAGGAGAGUGGAAUUCCACGUGUAGCGGUGAAAUGCGUAGAGAUGUGGAGGAACACCAGUGGCGAAGGCGACUCUCUGGUCUGUAACUGACGCUGAGGCGCGAAAGCGUGGGGAGCGAACAGGA